rnacentral:rRNA from 1 species
UACAGAGGUCUCGAGCGUUAUGCGGAAUCACUGGGCUUAAAGCGUGUGUAGGCGGAUCGGUAAGUACCUUGUGAAAUCCCACAGCUUAACUGUGGAACUGCUUGGUAUACUGCCAGUCUUGAGCCAGCUAGGGGCUACCGGAACAAAUGGUGGAGCGGUGAAAUGCGUAGAUAUCAUUUGGAACACCAAUGGUGAAAACAGGUAGCUGGGGCUGUGCUGACGCUGAGACACGAAAGCCAGGGGAGCAAACGGG